CCUACGAGAGGCAGCAGUGGGGGAUCUUGCACAAUGGGGGAAACCCUGAUGCAGCGACGCCGCGUGAGUGAAGAAGGAUUUUGGUAUGUAAAGCUCUAUCAGCCGGGAAGAAAAUGACAGUACCUGACCCAGAAGCCCUGGAUAAAUACGUGCCAGGAGCCGCGGUAAGACGUAGGGGGCAAGCGUUAGCCUGAUUUACUGGGGGGAAAGGGAGCGUAGACGGGUAUGUAAGUCUGGAGUGAAAGCCCGGGGCACAACCCCGGGACUGCGUUUGAAACUGUGUAACUGGAGUACAGGAGGGGCAGGCGGAAUUCCUGGUGUAGCGGUGAAAUGCGUAGAUAUCAGGAGGAACACCGGCGGCGAAGGCGGCCUGCUGGACUGAAACUGACGUUGAGGCUCGAAAGCGUGGGGAGCAAACAGGAUUAGAUACCCCUGUAGUC
rnacentral:rRNA from 1 species